CAGCCGCCGCGGUAAUACGUAGGUGGCAAGCGUUGUCCGGAAUUAUUGGGCGUAAAGGGCUCGCAGGCGGUUUCUUAAGUCUGAUGUGAAAGCCCCCGGCUCAACCAGGGAGGGUCAUUGGAAACUGGGAAACUUGAGUGCAGAAGAGGAGAGUGGAAUUCCACGUGUAGCGGUGAAAUGCGUAGAGAUGUGGAGGAACACCAGUGGCGAAGGCGACUCUCUGGUCUGUAACUGACGCUGAGGAGCGAAAGCGUGGGGAGCGAACAGGAUUAGAUACCCCCGUAGUCCCUGUCUCUUAUAC
rnacentral:rRNA from 1 species